rnacentral:ncRNA from 1 species
AUGCUAAUUUGUCAUUUAGUCUCAUUAAUAUUAAAUGAGUUAAUGUUCAGCAUUGAUCUUCUAAAUUGUGUCUUUCCAAAUUGGUUCCACUCAGAGACAGUGUUGGAGGUGGUUUGUGACUGUCAAAUGGUAACAUAGAUGUUCUGUGGUGAGCUCAGGGAGAAUGGCCAUCUUCCAUGGAGCAGGACAAAGCCCACUUGAUCUUGAUUAUCAGCAUGAAUAAAGGUCACAAAAGAGAGGCCUUUCUGCAGUCUCUCUGAUCCUUCCAUGUCAG